rnacentral:rRNA from 1 species
GACGAACGCUGGCGGCGUGCUUAACACAUGCAAGUCGAACGGAAAGGCCCUGCUUUUGUGGGGUGCUCGAGUGGCGAACGGGUGAGUAACACGUGAGUAACCUGCCCUUGACUUUGGGAUAACUUCAGGAAACUGGGGCUAAUACCGGAUAGGAGCUCCUGCUGCAUGGUGGGGGUUGGAAAGUUUCGGCGGUUGGGGAUGGACUCGCGGCUUAUCAGCUUGUUGGUGGGGUAGUGGCUUACCAAGGCUUUGACGGGUAGCCGGCCUGAGAGGGUGACCGGCGACCUUGGGACUGAGAUACGGCCCAGACUCCUACGGGAGGCAGCAGUGGGGAAUAUUGCACAAUGGGCGGAAGCCUGAUGCAGCAACGCCGCGUGCGGGAUGACGGCCUUCGGGUUGUAAACCGCUUUCGCCUGUGACGAAGCGUGAGUGACGGUAAUGAGUAAAGAAGCACCGGCUAACUACGUG